rnacentral:rRNA from 1 species
UAGGGAAUCUUCCACAAUGGACGCAAGUCUGAUGGAGCAACGCCGCGUGAGUGAAGAAGGUUUUCGGAUCGUAAAGCUCUGUUGUUGGUGAAGAAGGAUAGAGGUAGUAACUGGCCUUUAUUUGACGGUAAUCAACCAGAAAGUCACGGCUAACUACGUGCCAGCAGCCGCGGUAAUACGUAGGUGGCAAGCGUUGUCCGGAUUUAUUGGGCGUAAAGCGAGCGCAGGCGGAAGAAUAAGUCUGAUGUGAAAGCCCUCGGCUUAACCGAGGAACUGCAUCGGAAACUGUUUUUCUUGAGUGCAGAAGAGAAGAGUGGAAUUCCAUGUGUAGCGGUGGAAUGCGUAGAUAUAUGGAAGAACACCAGUGGCGAAGGCGACUCUCUGGUCUGCAACUGACGCUGAGGCUCGAAAGCAUGGGUAGCGAACAGG